AAGUCGUAACAAGGUAACCGUAGGUGAACCUGCGGUUGGAUCAUUAAAAAGUUUGAAAAGGGCUAUGUCAAAGAUGCUUUUAGUUUAGUUAAUUUUUGGCCGUUUCGUUCAUUCAUUCGUUCAAUUCUGAUACUGUUUUUUCAGCAUCUUUGACUUAGUACCUAAUCAAAAACCAACCCUGUGUGAACUGUUUUGUCUCUGGCGGCUGGGUAGGGAUAUACUUUGUGUAACCCUAUCUGUCAGCUUGGUCUUAUCUGAGCCGUGGACAACCCGCCAAACAAUACUGAACAAACUUAGCUAAUUUCUUCUGUCUAAUAUCUGAUUUGUAUUAAUGUACAAACAACUUUUGGCAACGGAUCUCUUGGCUCUC
rnacentral:misc_RNA from 1 species